GGGCUUGAGGGUGAUCUGGCUGUGACAUCUGUCACCCUAUAGAUUGUUACCAUGAAUUUAUCUGAUCAGGCUGGCUAGGCAGGUGUUCCUAACUUCCCUCACUGCUUUAUGUACGUCCUUCCCAAUAGGUCAAGAGGACAACUAUAGCUGUUAGAGAAGGGCCAUUUCCUUGGUCAAGGGUAUAUGGAUAGCUUUGCUUUUCUGCUUGAACUUCCAAACAAGCUAUCAAAAUUGCUCAUUAGGUCCUCAAAUUUGGAGUCUUGCCUCUUGCCUGUUGAGAAGCUGGGAUUAUAGGUGUUUGCCACAAUGCCUGCUGCAAUAUAUU
rnacentral:snRNA from 1 species